GCCACCCAGGCACUCCGCAUUUUUACCUUUUGUUUAUGUUCACUAUGUCCACAGUCAAGCUUUUUGGAUAUACCUUCAAUGAGAAGAAAGAUCAAAGUUUUUGGUUUCGCAAAGUGUUGCUCAAAACACGUAUUAUGGAUGUCUCAGCUCUUCGUUCAGUUCUUAGCUCAAACUCAUGCCUGAAAGAACUGAUGUUAUUAUUUCUCCUGUAUAAAAUGAAACAAAUGGCAUAGGUUUAAAAAACCUAUACAGGCAGUCUUUAUAUUAAGAGCUGUCUCAGUUUAAAUGGUUAUCUGUUCUUUGACAAAUUGGUCCAGAAAGCAGUAGAAUGAGCACUAGCUUUGGAACCAGAAAGUGCUGGGAUUCAAGAAGUGAGAAAAGCAAAUUCCCUGGCUUCCUAGACUGAGAUUUCCAUCAGGAUCUUCCUACAGUUUUAAGAAAGAUGGCAUGAUGCUGUUGGGAAUAACAGUACAGAUAAUCUGUCAAAGCUCUAAGAAAACACCAGAAGAGGAGGGUCCCUUGAUUCAGGAACUGCUGCAAUGGCUGGCAGCUAACACAGGAGCAGAAGAAACAGCAAGAAGGCAGCAAUCUGCAAGAGGGCUUUCACCAGGAACCAAAUCUGCCUAUACCAUGAUUUUGGAUUUUUCCAGCCUCCAGAAUGUGAGAAAUAAUGUUUGUCGUUGAAGCCACUGAGUCUAUUGUAUUCUGUUGUAGCAACCCAACUUAAGCCAAGAAUGUUCUCUGAGCAUUUAUGCUCAAGGUUGCCUCUUUUGCGGGUUUCACAAGAGAAUUUAUAGAUAUAUAUGUCUCAAAGAAGAGGCUUGGCAUGAUGCUUCUGAGGAGCAGAUGAUGACCUUUCUGGACAAAGGACAAAUGAGAGAAACUGAAGACAAAUAUCCAGGAGAGUCUCAACCUCUAGCCAGGGUCCCCUAGGAAGGAAAAUUGUAACAUCUCAGUCUCCUGAAGAUGAAGCUCUGAAACACCAUUUCCUUAUUUAGCAUUCUGUGUGGCCAGAGGCAGAGAGUGGCAGCCCUGAUGAGAUUUAAUGAUGUGAGGCUAUAUUUGUAUAAAUAACUGUGGGAAAUCCCAAAGUUUACAAGUGGUAACGACCACAGACUCCAGCUCCCUAAAGCCAGGUGUGCAGAUGUCCUGAUAUCUUUUCGCACAUGUCCUGAUCUACCUCAGGUUGAAUGCUUUUGGUGAGUGCCAUUAUAUUAAAUUUCCUUCCUAUUUCUCAAUUCUGGGUUAGUUUGUAUGGAAAAGCAGACACUUUCCUCACAGAAAGAACUAAGCUGCUGAACUUCUUUGUGAACUUUUAUUAUGAGUAUGUCCGUGAGUGGUUAUUUUUUGUGUUACCAGUUGUCGAAAUGUGUCUUGUUUUUGUUAACAAGCACAUUACUCAAUUAUAUGCAUUUUCAAUGAUUUUGCCAACAUAAAAAAUUAGAACUGAGGACGUAAUAAGCAAUAUGGCAAAAGCAAACUCAGGACAUAGUAGUAAGACUUGGAUAAACUUGAAUGCUGGGUUAUUCUGGAUAAUUAAAUUUAAAAAAUUUCUUGGUUAGCUGAGAGUUAGGCAACUUUUUUUUUUUUCCGCAACUCUGGAAAUCUUGAAUAAUGUUUGAGUUCACUCCCCUGUUAUUAAAAACAGUAUAUUAAACCAAAUGAGAGCCACUUUUAAUUAAAAAUCUAAUAGUGCACUAGGUAAACCUUUCCAAUUUAUCAAUUUUCAUUGAUUAUUGUAGAUAGGAGAUUGGCCUAAACGUUGGUUGAUUACAAACCAUAUCUAGAAUUCUUAAAAGUCACCUUUAUAAAUAGGGUUUUUCAAAGGCACAAGGAUGUUACAGAUGCUCCUUAACAAGUAAGGUGCCAGAUUAAAAUAGCCUAUUUAAAGGAGAGGACUCUUUCAGUCAAAUGGGAAAACCCUAGUGAGUGGAAAGUUUGGUAGUUUGAAUUUCAAAACUCCACUGUAUUUUUAUAUUUUCUUCAUGAAAGAUUUAUACUUCUCAGUUCCCUUCCUUUCUUUUUAAAUAUCAAUUUAAUAUCUCCACAAUCUUAUAAUACCUUGAUUUUAGUGC